rnacentral:rRNA from 1 species
UGGGGAAUCUUAGACAAUGGGGGAAACCCUGAUCUAGCCAUGCCGCGUGAGUGACGAAGGCCUUAGGGUCGUAAAGCUCUUUCGCCAGGGAUGAUAAUGACAGUACCUGGUAAAGAAACCCCGGCUAACUCCGUGCCAGCAGCCGCGGUAAUACGGAGGGGGUUAGCGUUGUUCGGAAUUACUGGGCGUAAAGCGCACGUAGGCGGACUGGUAAGUUAGAGGUGAAAUCCCGGGGCUCAACCUCGGAAUUGCCUUUGAUACUGCCAGUCUUGAGUCCGGGAGAGGUGAGUGGAAUUCCUAGUGUAGAGGUGAAAUUCGUAGAUAUUAGGAAGAACACCAGUGGCGAAGGCGGCUCACUGGCCCGGAACUGACGCUCAGGUGCGAAAGCGUGGGGAGCAAACAGGAUUAGAUACCCGUGUAGUCC